rnacentral:tRNA from 1 species
GAGGGUAUGGCUUAGCGGUAGAGUGCUUGCUUAGCAUGCACAAGAUCCUGGGUUCAAUCCCCAGCACCUCCA